rnacentral:rRNA from 1 species
UCGAGCGCGAAAGGGGGGGUAACUCCCCGAGUAGAGCGGCGAACGGGUGAGUAACGCGUGGGUGAUCUACCUUCGAGUGGGGAAUAACAGCGGGAAACUGCUGCUAAUACCGCAUGACAUCCCCGGGUCGCAUCGGGGAUCAAAGCCGGGGACCGCAAGGCCUGGCGCUUGAAGAUGAGCCCGCGUCCGAUUAGCUAGUUGGCGGGGUAAUGGCCCACCAAGGCGACGAUCGGUAGCCGGCCUGAGAGGGCGGACGGCCACACUGGGACUGCGACACGGCCCAGACUCCUACGGGAGGCAGCAGUGGGGAAUUUUUCGCAAUGGGGGAAACCCUGACGAAGCAACGCCGCGUGAAGGAUGAAGGCCUUCGGGUCGUAAACUCCUGUCGACCGGGACGAACGUAGUCGGGUCCAAUACACCCGGCUAUCGACUGUACCGGUAGAGGAAGCCACGGCUAACUCUGUGCCAGCAGCCGCGGUAAUACAGAGGUGGCAAGCGUUGUUCGGAAUUACUGGGCGUAAAGGGCGCGUAGGCGGUCCGAUAAGUCCCGUGUGAAAUCCCUCGGCUCAACUGAGGAAUGGCACGGGAAACUGACGGGCUUGAGUUCGGGAGAGGGAAGCGGAAUUCCGGGUGUAGCGGUGAAAUGCGUAGAUAUCCGGAGGAACACGGGUGGCGAAGGCGGCUUCCUGGACCGACACUGACGCUGAGGCGCGAAAGCUAGGGGAGCAAACGGGAUUAGAUACCCCGGUAGUCCUAGC